rnacentral:lncRNA from 1 species
AAGAGUCUUGUCUUUAAAAUGCUGUAAAAUAGUCAUAUGUUUGAAAAAUUGAAGUUUUCGGAUUUUAGAGGAAUUUGUAUUUCGCGCCACGCCCAUCAUUGGAUAUUGGAGCAGGUGUUCCGCUAGCGGAACGUCUAGAUGUAAGAGGGUAACGACUGUUCCACAGGUGCAUGUUCAUUAAUUGUUUAUUGUUCAUUGAACAAGCAUGGGAAACAGUGUUUAAACCCUUUACAAUGAAGAUCUGUGAAGUUAAUUUGUAAAAAUCCAACUAACUUUGAAAGACAGGGUCCUGAAAAAGGGCCGUUUCUUUUUUUGCUGAGUUUAUUAGUGGUGAGUUUGUACAGCCUACACCGGCUCCCCGAGAACCCCGCUUACCUCCUCCGGUGUGAUAUUCUGGGGGAUCCUGGUACCUGCCGGGGUUUGUUUUCUUAGUGCUCCCUUAUUUUUGCACUGCAGCCAUCUUUGUAUCCUUCAGACCGAUCAAAGAUACCGUGUAUUAUUACGCUAAUGUCGGGAUGGGCGCUCUCCUGGGCUACGGCAGUUUGGGAGCAACAAUCAAGCAUUUGUCGUCAUCUGGAGGAUUGCAUGGCAGAGUUGAGGAAGGUGUUCUCUUCUCCGGUAACCGGGAGAGGGGCGGCCCGAAAAAUUUGAAUUACGCCAAGACUCCCGUAGUGUGGCAGACUACGUUGUUGACUUUUGCUCAUUGGGCACCGAGAGUGCCUGGAAUCUGGAGUCCCUUUUUGAUGCCUCCCUUCACGGAUUAUCUGAGGUGAUAAAAGAUGAGCUAACUGCUCGGGAAUUACAGGUGGACCUAUAUUCCCUCAUCACCCUCACCAUUAGAAUUAAUGGACGUCUAAGGGAACGCAGGAGUGAGAGGAGGUCUGGCCUAGGUCACACUCGUUCAUCUGCAGUGGCUCACUCAGCUUCAAAUGAAUCCGGAAAUCCCCAAAGGCUGUUUUUCCGAGAGGAUCCAAAGCCACCCGAGCUCUCUCGGGAAUCCUCGAUGACGGGUGAGCCUGAUACACCGGAACCUGUGCAACUGGGAAGAGCUAGAUUAUCGCCUAGGGAACGUUCAUGCAGGCUAAGCUCCAAAAGUUGUCUGUAUUGUGGUGCUGUAGGGCAUUACAUAGCCACCUGCCCAGUGAAGAGACCUGAAGCCUUAGUAGGUACAGGUACUCUGGUGAGCCUGACUGGGAACCCUCUAAGUCCCAUUACCUGAACUCCUUUAUGUGAGCUUGCUGUGGGGAGACCAGUCUAAGUCUCUCUGGGUGCUUAUUGACUCUAGGGCAGAUGAGAGUUUCAUGUACGCUACCCUGGUAUCAGAACUAAGAAUCCCUACUCAACUCCUUUCUGUUCCCAUGGAUGCCAGGGUGCUGGACGGCCGCUCCAUUGGAAGAGUCACGCACAGCACAGUUCCCAUUAAUAUGCGGGUAUCUGGGAAUCAGUGAGUCAAUUCAGCUCCUCCUCAUUGAGUCCCGUCACAUCCCUGUUUUGGGAUUUUCCUGGCUCCAGAAGCACAACCCUGAUAUUAACUGGACUACGGGUUCAAUCCUGGGUUAGAGCUCGUUCUGCCAAUCACACUGCCUUAAGGCGGUACAUCCUUCUCCAGAACUUCUGCCUCCAGAGUUAAGUACGGCCUCGGAUCUCUUUGCCGUGCCCGCAGAAUAUCAUGCCCUCCUGGAGGUUUUCAGCAAGGCUUGUGCUACCUCCCUUCCUCCACAUCGUCCUUAUGAUUGUGCUAUUGACCUCCUCCCGGGCACCACACCGCUUCGAGGUUGGCUAUAUUCCCUGUCUGGUCCUGAGACCAAGGCCAUGGCGUACAUUGAGGACUCUGGCUUUUGGGAGCAUUUGCUCUCCUGCCGGCACAGGAUUAUUCUUUGUGGGGAAGAAGGACAAGACCUUGUGUCUAUGUAUUGAUUACUGGGGACUUAAUGACAUUACGAUUAAAAAUUGGUACCCUCUACCACUCCUCUCCUCGGCAUUCGAACCUCUCCAGGGGGCUACUACCUUUUCCAAAACUGGACCUUUGGAAUGCCUACCACCUUGUGGGGAUAUGCGAAGGAGACGAGUGGAAGAUGGCUUUCAACAGUAUGAGUACCUAGUCAUGCCGUUUGGACUCAACAACGCGCCCGCUGUCUUCCAGAACCUGGUCAACUAUGUGCUCUGCGACAUUUCGUUUUGUUUUUGUCUACCUCGACGACAUCCUGGUUUUCUCUCGUUCUGCCCAGGAACACAUUCUCCAUGUUUAAUAGGUCCUUCAGCUGAGAAGUGUGAGUUCCACCGCUCCACUGUCUCUUUUCUGGGAUACAUCAUCGCUGAGGGGAAUGUUCAGCUGGAUCCGGAGAUGGUGAGAGUGGUGGGGGAUUGGCCCCAGCCCAUGUCCAGGGUGCAGCUACAACAGUUUCUGGGGUUUGCACAUUUCUACUGCCAUUUCAUUCGGGGCUACAGCAACCUGGCGGCUCCCCUCUCUGCAUUCACCUCUCCUAAGGUACCGUUCCCAUGGUCUCCAGCAGCGGAAAAGGCUUUUGGAGAUGUAAAGCAGCAAUUUACUACUGCCCUCAUCCAUCUGGACCCAACUCGUCAGUUUGUGGUUGAGGUUGAUGCUUCCGAUGUGUGAGUAGGGGCCGUUCUUUCCCAGCGAUUCGUCUAGGACCAAAAGCUUCAUCCCUGUACCUUCAUGUCCCAUCGUCUCAACUCUGUGGAGAGGAACUAUGAUGUUGGGAACCGGGAACUCCUAGCGGUUAAGAUGGCUCUGGAGGAGUGGAGACACUGGCUGAAAGGGGCGGAACAUCCAUUUCUGGUAUGGACGGAUCACAAGAAUUCAGAAUACCUCUGCACUGCCAAGCGCCUCAACCCAAGGCAAGCUCAUUGGGCCCUGUUAUUUACCAGGUUCAAUUUCAACAUCUCCUACUGCCCAGGGUCAAAAAACAUGAAGCCAGACACUCUCUCCCAUCUGUACAGUUCCACUGCCACACCCUCUGAAUCUGAGACCAUCCUCCCUGCCUCGUGUUUGGCGGCUUCAGUUGUUCUGGGAAUUGAGGCUCUGGUCCGCAAUGCACAGCGUUCC